ACGCUCGACACCUACGGGAGGCAGCAGUGGGGAAUAUUGCACAAUGGGGGAAACCCUGAUGCAGCGACGCCGCGUGAAGGAAGAGGUAUCUCGGUAUGUAAACUUCUAUCAGCAGGGAAGAAAAUGACGGUACCUGACUAAGAAGCCCCGGCUAACUACGUGCCAGCAGCCGGCGGUAAUCUGAGCGGGCUGGCAAGGC
rnacentral:rRNA from 1 species